AUGCCCUGUAUGCCAGAUGGCCAGUCCACCCCUGCUCGGGGGGCAGAGGAGGUAGAGGAGGACGGGGCUCCAGAGACUUCACUGUCAGGGGCAGGAGAUGAUGAGGAGCUUGAGGAGGCAGCAGCAGGGCCAUCGCACAAUACAGGAUAUUCUGGAUACACUGGACGUCCCUGCUCUGAUGACGGAAUUCAUCAGCACCACCCCAGAACGAAAGACCACCUUUGGAGUCCUACCAUCUACUUAAGACCAGCCCAGCAGUGA
rnacentral:lncRNA from 1 species